rnacentral:sRNA from 1 species
AUCUGCGAAUACCAGUGCCUGUAAUUGUCUGUGGACUAACACGAGAAUGGGGCUCGGCAAAAAUACACUUCUGUGUGUGAGACACUGUGGCUAGAACUGAGGUCUCUGGAAGGUAAUUUUUGUAGCUACCAAAUUUGUAGAGAGGCCAGGGCAUAUAGGUAUUUUUCAGAGGUCUGCCGAAACUUCUAGAUAGUCGUUAGUUCUUGCCUCUAUUACCCCAUUUCUCCAAGAUUUUAUCUUAUAAAAAACCACACCUGAAAGACACACAAAACACAUCGCUGCUCGACAACAGUCUCGCCGAUAAGGGUGUUGUUUAUGUUAAACUGUUGCCAAAUUUCUCCGUUGACUAUACAAAUUUAUACACAUUAUAGUUUAGGUAUCCUCUAGUCGUAUCCUCCAGCCGUUGUGAUUUGAUUUGCACUUGAACCACUUAAUCAUAUUUGUACUGGGGUCUAUCUUCAAUUGGAAACACUAGCUUCUGGCACCAGUCUACACGGUCAUGCCUAUCAUUGUGUGUUACGGAUACGGUGGUCUAGGUCUAAUCUAAAUCUGAUCGGAGGGGCCUGCUACCUGUGGCUGUGUGGCUCUUUGGCUCUGUGGGUUAUCUAAUCAUGUUCGCAAUUUUCUGUUCUGUUUUCGUGUGGUAUACUCUGAUUUUUAUGACCAACUAUAAAGCUGAAAAGAAAUCGUGCUCGUGAUUUAGAAAUAUAAAUAUUAAGGCUUGGAAUUUAUGGUUAUUUAUGGCUGACUGGCUAGCUGUCUAGCAAUUGCAGCAGCGGCAUAAAAGAGCCAAUUCCAUAGGAAGUUGAUACCCGAUAAAAGCCUCGGCUCUCAGCCUCAGCUUCAGCCUCAACUUCGGGCUCGGACAAAAGGCAGGUCUAUGGCCAUAUCAUUAGUAAUAAAAGUAUGGUGGGUACACCCUUUGGCCCCAUCAGCCAUGACAAUUCUUACUACUAAGCUGCACUGGGAGAGAGAGAGCAUAACGUUUAAGCGGGAAAUCAUUUCCAUACUAUAAGUCCAGUAAAAUAUAUCGCCAGAGUACUACAAAUACCCAAAGCCCGAUGAACAGUUCCAGUACGAUCCACAGAUCAUUUAACACCAGAAGCCUCGCUCGCCGGGCCCGUGGACACCUCUUGGAUUAUGCCAAAAGGAUUAUCCACACCCUGUGCUUUGUAAUACUGAUUAUAAAAACGGCUAUGACAGAGGAUCGUGGGAUGGUCUUCAUUGGCUUUAGAUGUCUAUCCAUUCGUGGUUACAGCACCAUCAUCUGCACUGUCGAGUUCUGUUUUCCAUUUAUGUUUUAAUGAAUCAUAUUGGCUGCUAAAUACAACUGGAUUAACUGGAUCCCCUCGAA